rnacentral:rRNA from 1 species
AGAGUAUGGGAGGGGGAGAUGGAAUUAGUGGUGUAGGGGUAAAAUCCGUAGAUAUCACUAGGAAUACCGAAAGCGAAGGCGAUCUCCUGGAACAAUACUGACGCUAAGGCGUGAAAGCGUGGGGAGCAAACGGGAUUAGAUACCCCGGUAGUCCACGCCCUAAACGAUGAACACUAGUCGUCGGGAUGCUAGUCAUCUCGGUGAUGCACUUAACAGAUUAAGUGUUCCGCCUGGGGAGUACGGUCGCAAGAUUAAAACUCAAAGGAAUAGACGGGGACCCGCACAAGUGGUGGAGCAUGUGGUUUAAUUCGAAGAUACGCGAAGAACCUUACCUAGCCUUGACAUUGAAGAAACACACUAGAGAUAGAGUGGUGCCCUUCGGGGAGUCUGAAAACAGGUGCUGCACGGCUGUCGUCGGCUCGUGUCGUGAGAUGUUGGGUUAAGUCCCGCAACGAGCGCAACCCUCGUCCUUAGUUGCCAGCAGGUUAAGCUGGGCACUCUAAGGAGACUGCCUUCGUAAGGAGGAGGAAGGUGAGGACGACGUCAAGUCAUCAUGGCCCUUAUGGCUAGGGCUACACACGUGCUACAAUGGGGCGUACAGAGUGUUGCGAUACCGCGAGGUGGAGCUAAUCACUUAAAGCGUCUCUCAGUUCGGAUUGGAGUCUGCAACUCGACUCCAUGAAGCUGGAAUCACUAGUAAUCGUAGAUCAGCAAUGCUACGGUGAAUACGUUCCCGGGUCUUGUACUCACCGCCCGUCACACCAUGGGAGUUGAUUUCACCCGAAAUUGGGAAGCUAACCUUCGGGAGGCUACCACUUACGGUG